rnacentral:rRNA from 1 species
GACGAACGCUGGCGGCGUGCUUAACACAUGCAAGUCGAACGGACAGGCCCUGCGUUUGUUGGUUGCUCGAGUGGCGAACGGGUGAGUAACACGUGAGUAACCUGCCCUUGACUUUGGGAUAACUUCAGGAAACUGGGGCUAAUACCGCAUAUGAGCUCCUGCUGCAUGGUGGUGGUUGGAGAGUUUCGGCGUUUCGGGAUGGACUCGCGGCUUAUCCGCUUGUUUGUCUGGUAGUGGCUUACCAAGGGUUUGACGGGUAGCCGGCCUGAGAGGGUGACCGGCCACAUGGGGACUGAGAGACGGAGCAGACGCGUACGGGAGGCAGCAGGGGGGAAUCUUGCGGAACGGGGGGACGUCUGAUGCAACAACGCCGCGUGCGGGAUGACGGGCUUCGGGUUGUAAACAGCUUUGGAAUGUGACGAGGAGUGCGUGACGGUAAUGGGUAAAAAAGCACCGGCUAACUACGUG